rnacentral:rRNA from 1 species
GUGCCAGCCGCCGCGGUGAUACGGGGGAUGCAAGCGUUAUCCGGAAUCAUUGGGCGUAAAGCGCCUGUAGGUUGUUUAAUAAGUCCGUUGUUAAAGACUAGGGCUUAACCCUAGAAAAGCGAUGGAAACUACUAGACUUGAGUAUGGCAGGGGUAGAGGGAAUUUCUAGUGUAGCGGUGAAAUGCGUAGAUAUUAGAAAGAACACCGGUGGCGAAAGCGCUCUACUGGACCAUUACUGACACUCAGAGGCGAAAGCUAGGGUAGCAAAAGGGAUUAGAAACCCUUGUAGUCC